UACGUAGGGUGCAAGCGUUAAUCGGAAUUACUGGGCGUAAAGCGUGCGCAGGCGGUUUUGUAAGUCUGUCGUGAAAUCCCCCGGGCUCAACCUGGGAAUUGCGAUGGAGACUGCAAGGCUAGAAUCUGGCAGAGGGGGGGUAGAAUUCCACGUGUAGCAGUGAAAUGCGUAGAGAUGUGGAGGAACACCGAUGGCGAAGGCAGCCCCUGGGUCAAGAUUGACGCUCAUGCACGAAAGCGUGGGGAGCAAACAGG
rnacentral:rRNA from 1 species